GACGAACGCUGGCGGCGUGCUUAACACAUGCAAGUCGAACGAAGUGGCGAACGGGUGAGUAACGCGUAAUCAACCUGCCCUUCAGCGGGGGACAACAGUUGAAAACGACUGCUAAUACCGCAUACGGAAGGAGGGGCAUGCGUGUGAUUAGCUAGUUGGGGGGGUAACGGCCAACCAAGGCGAGGAUCAGUAGCCGGUCUGGAGGGAUGAACGGCCCCCUUGGGACUUGGACACGGCCCAGACUCCUACGGGGGGGAGCAGUGGGGAAUCUUCCGCAAUGGACGGAAGUCUGACGGAGCAACGCCGCGGGAGUGAUGACGGCCUUCGGGUUGUAAAGCUCUGUUAAUCGGGACGCGGUACCGGAAUAGAAAGCCACGGCUAACUACGUGCCAGCCGCCGCGGUAAUUC
rnacentral:rRNA from 1 species